ensembl:lncRNA
UUUUUUUCUUGUGGGAGGAAAAGUUACAUAUGCUUAAAUACAGUGGAUAUCAAAAGUCUACACACUCUGUUGAGAAUGCAGCCAUUGUUUAAAUACAGGCAGAGAUCAAGACAGUUUUGUUUACCUUUCAUAACAUCACUUUAGGAUAAAUGGAUAAAUGAGCCAGCUUGAAGAACAUAGAAACGUUUUUUUUUCUGUAAUCCAAAUCAAAAAGUGACACCUUCAUAUUUUCUAGAUUCAAUACACAAAGUGAAACAUUUCAAGUCUGUUAGAAAAACACUCAGUGUUCAUUCAACCCCUUUGCAAAAAACUCUUCUCAGGUCGACAUUUCUGUAUUGUAAAUUUUUUAUUCUAAUAUUUUGAGAUUCUGGAUUUCUGAUUUCCAUGAGCUGAUAGCCGUAAUCAUCAAGAUUAAAACAAAAAAGGCUUGCAAUGUUUCACUUAAUGUGUAAUGCAUAUAGAAUAUAUGAAGGUGUACAUCUACUUUGAAUUAUGGAAAAAAGUUUAUUUUCCACAAUAUUCUUUCUUUUUUUUUGAUUGUAUUGAAUUCUUUUUCAGGGCAUUGGGAUUUUAUCUUUUGACCAGAGCAAUAGUACCCUCUCCUGGACAUUGAAAACAACUUUUCCAGCAGCAUCUGUCUUCCUACCCCGAAACAACCCUGCUUUGCUUCAGAGGCAAGUUAUCAGUGGGAUGCAGUGUUCUAUAAAACUCUUCUGCAUAGGGCGAUCAGGUUAAAGAAGACAAUUAUAUAGCCUAAUAAUGAAUUCACACUGUCCUCAACCAUUCAUCCAUUUCCAGGUCACGGAGGAGAGGACAGACUCCCAACGAACAUCUCCCAUAGCCUAUUCACACUCAAUGCUUUUUGUGUCUUGUUGGAGAGUGGUAAUAGAAUUUUGCUAUACAAGACUUCAUCAACACAUGCAAUUGUGCAUUCCCUGGGAGUGUGUAGAAGCAGUGAUGCCAGAUCCUUGUUUCCUGUGCCAAAGACUACAUUAUCAUCGAAAACAUCUGCAAGUUGAGUGAACAAAUACUUUAGUCUAAUCUAAACUAAGCUGUACAACUGAUGCAGGUUUUUUAUUAUUUCUUUCUACAAAUGUAUAGAAAGCCCAUACUGAUCUAUUCUGGUGAUCACUUGUUUUGAGUAAAAGUGAUAACCAACCAUAUUAACAACUGGGUCACAAUAGAAAUUGACAGGAGAAGCCCUCACCACAUAUUGACCCACAGAUGUUUAUUUGUGGUUUAAAAAAAUAUUUGAUCUGGCAAUGGUUUUAGCUCCUCAAAAUUUCCCCAAGGAUAUGUUUCAGCCAUCUCCUGUAGUGGCAGACGAGCCCCAUAGAGUAAUCAGGAGGGUCAUCAGGGGGGAUUAACCAAAGUAGGAAGUCUGACCAUUUGACCACAAUUAAAGAGUGCAUAUUUUCAGAAGCUAGUCCUAGAUACUACAAGCUUACAACAUCCUUUUUUCCAUGUGAAUAGGCUACAAAAACAGUGCAUCUUUGUGGUUCUCUCCGAGGGUUCUAGUGGGGCUAACAAGUUGAUGUCAAUGCCAGUGCAUAGGCCCAAACCCCUUGUUUAAGCACAUGCUUAAACAAAAAUACAACUUCAGUUUCGCCUAGUGAAUACAACAUUAUCAUAUGUGUAUUAUUUACAUGAUAUCAAUAUUCCAUUUUUUAAAUAUCAUGGUUAUCGUCAGUAUAUAGCGACACUAUUUUCAAUAAUUACAUUAAAAUAUUUUAACACUGCUGGAUUAAACAUUUUGAAAUAACAGCACAUUUUAUACAAUCUCCCCAUUUAAGUAUUUUGCAAUUGGCUUCAGAUCAGUUUUUUAGGUAUGUGUGUUUGUUUGCUUCGUUAGUGCACGCACAAAAGAGCUGUCAAUGUCUUUGUCUUCAUUCUAAUGAGUCAGUUGUUGGUAUCUGACAACAGAAGGACCUAAUCAGUUGUUUGGUACAUUAUGAAGAGGAAACAAAACAUUGGUUAGCUCAGCAAUGGCAAAUAAUCUGCUAGAACAAGGGAGACUUCUACAGUGGGAGACACUGUAUAUAGAAUAGUACAAUCUGUGGGGUUGAACAAUGGCAUCUGCUAGUCCACCACUCCACCUCUAAAAAUGAUAAAAGCAACAAUCAGCUUUCCAUUGUACUUUUAAAUUAACUUACUUGGUUUGAAAUGAUUUGUUUUAAAGGGUGGAAUAACUCAUGCCUCUACCUAAUUCACUGACCAGGAAACCUGGCAAGAGGCACAGGUGUGAAAACAAAAGAGAAUUGCAUGUCUAGUCACACUGAAUAUGAUGAGGUGUCAGCAGGCUUGAGGUAUUUGAAAUAGAGCUGUUUGACCCUUGAUAAUACAUUUAGCCCAUAUUACAUGCCUGAACUAUAGCUUUUAUGUUUUAUUUUUCCUUAAAUACCAUUGCUGUCUCGCUUUUCAGCAUAAAAUACUUACUAUAUCAGUUUUGUUUGACUAGUGUGUAAUUGGAUGAAAUAGGUUCAUGUCUUAUUUUGUGUGAUAGAAAUCAAAAGACUCCAAUAAGAAAAGAAAAAUCUAAAGGAAGAAAAAAACAUGCCAAGGAAAUAGGCAAGCAGGUAAGAACGCACAAGCACAAUUGUUAGUGUAAUUGUUUUUAGCAGUUUGACUGUGAUUAAC